UACGUAGGGUGCAAGCGUUAAUCGGAAUUACUGGGCGUAAAGCGUGCGCAGGCGGUGAUGUAAGACAGUUGUGAAAUCCCCGGGCUCAACCUGGGAACUGCAUCUGUGACUGCAUUGCUGGAGUGCGGCAGAGGGGGAUGGAAUUCCGCGUGUAGCAGUGAAAUGCGUAGAUAUGCGGAGGAACGCCGAUGGCGAAGGCAAUCCC
rnacentral:rRNA from 1 species